CCUGCUGAAAAUGUCAUCAGGGUCAGGGGGUACACCUGCCCAGAGAGUAGCAUCUUUUGGGUAGUCUCCAUCCAGCUUUCUCUCCAUUCCUCUCCUCUCUUCAUCAAACCUCCAAAACUGCCUACCACUGAAUAGCAUCAACUUUUUCAAUUCCUGGGGGGAUCCCAAUCCAGAAAUUACAUAUCAAAGCUGGGGAAAGAGAAACCAAUGAACCCGACUGCUUGAUCCGCCAGAAAUACGGGCCUGGAACGAGAAGAGCAAAAUCGCUAAUUUGUCACUGUAGGACGGCUGAGUACAAUGUUAUGAACUCCACAGCACUGUGGUCCAAGAACUGCAUUUUGGACACUGGUUCAAUAUUUUGUUCUCCUACCUUUGAAGAGGAAGAUCUCUCCUCUGAUAUGAGCCACUGCAUCAAAGCUCCCAUUGCAGCGAUUGGGAAGAGAGUGGUUUGGCCUGAGAGAAGGAAAGUGUGCAGGUGUAACAGAGGGAGGGGUCAGUGUUACACUGAUGCAGAGAGCCAAGACUGAGAUAGUGUUGCCAGCUAAUAAUAAAACAAUACCACAAUAA